GUGGGGAAUCUUCCGCAAUGGACGAAAGUCUGACGGAGCAACGCCGCGUGAGUGAAGAAGGUUUUCGGAUCGUAAAGCUCUUUCGUUAGGGACGAACGUGCUCUUUGUGAAUAAUGAGGAGUAAUGACGGUACCUAAAUAAGAAGCCACGGCUAACUACGUGCCAGCAGCCGCGGUAAUACGUAGGUGGCAAGCGUUGUCCGGAAAUAUUGGGCGUAAAGCGCGCGCAGGCGGGAUAUCAAGUCUGUCUUAAAAGUGCGAGGCUCAACCUCGUGAGGGGACAGAAACUGGUAUUCUUGAGUGUCGGAGAGGAAAGUGGAAUUCCAAGUGUAGCGGUGAAAUGCGUAGAGAGUUGGAAGAACACCAGUGGCGAAGGCGACUUUCUGGACGAUGUCUGACGCUGAGGCGCGAAAGCUAGGGGAGCGAACGGGAUUAGAUACCCUUGUAGUCC
rnacentral:rRNA from 1 species